CUGAUCAAAAUUCUCCAAAUACAUUCUCUUUUACAAUAUUCACUUCUUUUAUUAAAAAUCAGUUAUUUUGGUCAUUCCUUGUGAAGUUGUCAGACUCAAAUGUCAAGGAAGGUGGUAGGGAAGCAGACUACACAGACAUUUCAGGUUUCCAGAGGUGAGCAAUUUAUUUACAGUGAACUUAAUUUAAUGUGUAACUUAACAAACCUUCCCCCCUCAGAUCAACUCAAUUAACAAAACGCAACAGCCCAUGGCUCUGGUAACACAGCUCACCUCUCCUCUCUUGUCUGAAUCUAGUACAGACUGGCUUUAAAUAGGGCCAUGAAUUUCCCUUCAAUUAGCCCAGCCAGUACCACUCACUCGAAAUGAGGGAUCUAAAACUCUACACAGAUAAUGAAAAAGACACAAAAACUCUUCACACUUCUAAUAUUCACAUUUACACAACUAAAUGGCAGUAUUAACGAAAGGAAAAAGAUUCAACAAAUCCCUUUAAACCUUAACACAAACAAAAGGAAGCAUAUCUAUGGAAAAAGAAACCCCUCCACUUGGUUUGACCUGCUGAUGUCAUAUGUGACAUCAUCAGGACUUUCAAAUGAGGAAAUGCUAGGCGGGCGUUUCCCCACACCUGACCCUCAUGAAGACUGAAAAGACAGAACAAAUCCGACUCAUCAAAUAGUGGUUUGCUGUCUGUUGAGUAAAAAAGAAGAUUACAUGAGUGCUGGCUCAGUUCAGACUGUAACUGUCUGCUCUCUGUGUGAGCUCUUUAUGCUCACUUUGUCUGUGAAGUGAAAAUAAUCUGGGCCAAAGUGAACGCUUGAGCCAGUUUGGGGGAAAACAGAUACAGCAGAGACCUCCAGUGGUAGAUGUAUAGAUCACAUCUUCACAUCAAUGAGAUUUCAGCAUUAUCAUUUCUCAUCAUAUUUGUAUUUAUUUAAGUUAGAUGAACUUAAAAUUGUUGUUAGGUGAGAUGAAGUG